rnacentral:rRNA from 1 species
CUUUCUCCGCCGGCGACCGGCGCACGGGUGAGUAACACGUAUGCAACCUGCCCCUGUCAGGGGGACAACCCGCCGAAAGGCGGGGCUAAACCCGCGUANAUGCCACCGGGGGCAUCCCGGAGGCAGGAAAGGCUUCGGCCGGACAGGGAUGGGCAUGCGGCGCAUUAGGCAGUAGGCGGGGUAACGGCCCACCUAACCGACGAUGCGUAGGGGUUCUGAGAGGAAGGUCCCCCACACUGGUACUGAGACACGGACCAGACUCCUACGGGAGGCAGCAG